GAUGAAGAACGCAGCGAAAUGCGAUACGUAGUGUGAAUUGCAGAAUUCAGUGAAUCAUCGAAUCUUUGAACGCACAUUGCACCUCUCGGUAUUCCGGGAGGUAUGCCUGUUCGAGCGUCAUUAAAUAACCCUCAAGCAUAGCUUGGUGUUGGGCUUUUUUACGUCCUUGACUGGGAUGGGCCUAAAAAUUAGUGGCGAUGGCUUUUUUACUUUCAAGCGUAGUAAAUCUCGUCUUGCUAAAGAGGAAAAAGAUUUUUUUUCUGCCAAAAAUUUUAACAUUUAAAGUUGACCUCGGAUCAGGUAGGAUUACCCGCUGAACUUAAGCAUAUCAAUAAGCGGAGGA
rnacentral:misc_RNA from 1 species